UACGUAGGUGGCAAGCGUUGUCCGGAUUUAUUGGGUUUAAAGGGUGCGUAGGUGGUUUUAUAAGUCAGUGGUGAAAGAUGGUUGCUCAACAAUCAAAUUGCCAUUGAUACUGUAUAACUUGAGUGAAGUGGAGGUUGUUGGAAUGGAUGGUGUAGCGGUGAAAUGCAUAGAUAUCAUCCAGAACGUCAAUUGCGAAGGCAGAUGGCUGUACUUUUACUGACACUGAGGCACGAAAGCGUGGGGAUCAAACAGG
rnacentral:rRNA from 1 species